rnacentral:rRNA from 1 species
GAUGAACGCUGGCGGCGUGCCUAAUACAUGCAAGUCGAGCGAACGGACGAGAAGCUUGCUUUUCUGAUGUUAGCGGCGGACGGGUGAGUAACACGUGGAUAACCUACCUAUAAGACUGGGAUAACUUCGGGAAACCGGAGCUAAUACCGGAUAAUAUUUUGAACCGCAUGGUUCAAAAGUGAAAGACGGUCUUGCUGUCACGUAUAGAUGGAUCCGCGCUGCAUUAGCUAGUUGGUAAGGUAACGGCCUACCAAGGCAACGAUGCAUAGCCGACCUGAGAGGGUGAUCGGCCACACUGGAACUGAGACACGGUCCAGACUCCUACGGGAGGCAGCAGUAGGGAAUCUUCCGCAAUGGGCGAAAGCCUGACGGAGCAACGCCGCGUGAGUGAUGAAGGUCUUCGGAUCGUAAAACUCUGUUAUUAGGGAAGAACAUAUGUGUAAGUAACUGUGCACAUCUUGACGGUACCUAAUCAGAAAGCCACGGCUAACUACGUG